rnacentral:rRNA from 2 species
UACGUAGGGGGCUAGCGUUGUCCGGAAUUACUGGGCGUAAAGGGUGCGUAGGUGGUUUCUUAAGUCAGAGGUGAAAGGCUACGGCUCAACCGUAGUAAGCCUUUGAAACUGGGAAACUUGAGUGCAGGAGAGGAGAGUGGAAUUCCUAGUGUAGCGGUGAAAUGCGUAGAUAUUAGGAGGAACACCAGUUGCGAAGGCGGCUCUCUGGACUGUAACUGACACUGAGGCACGAAAGCGUGGGGAGCAAACAGG